CCUACGGGUGGCUGCAGUGAGGAAUAUUGGUCAAUGGGCGCGAGCCUGAACCAGCCAAGUCGCGUGAGGGAAGACGGUCCUAUGGAUUGUAAACCUCUUUUGUCGGGGACCAAAAGACGCCACGCGUGGCGUUCCGAGAGUACCUGAAGUAAAAGCAUCGGCUAACUCCGUGCCAGCAGCCGCGGUAAUACGGAGGAUGCGAGCGUUCUCCGGAUUUAUUGGGUUAAAGGGGUGCGCAGGCGGAAGAUCAAGUCAGUGGUAACAUUGAGAGGCUAAACUUCAUCGAGCCGUUGAAACUGGUGUUCUUGAGUGAGUGAGAAGUAUGCGGAAUGCGUGGUGUAGCGGUGAAAUGCAUAGAUAUCACGCAGAACUCCGAUUGCGAAGGCAGCAUACCGGCGCUCAACUGACGCUCAUGCACGAAAGUGUGGGUAUCGAACAGGAUUAGAUACCCGAGUAGUC
rnacentral:rRNA from 1 species